rnacentral:rRNA from 1 species
ACGGGUGAGUAAUGUCUGGGAAACUGCCUGAUGGAGGGGGAGUAACUACUGGAAACGGUAGCUAAUACCGCAUAACGUCGCAAGACCAAAGAGGGGACCUUCGGCCUCUUGCCAUCAGAUGUGCCCAGAUGGGAUUAGCUAGUAGGUGGGGUAACGGCUCACCUAGGCGACGAUCCCUAGCUGGUCUGAGAGGAUGACCAGCCACACUGGAACUGAGACACGGUCCAGACUCCUACGGGAGGCAGCAUG